UACGUAGGGGGCAAGCGUUGUCCGGAAUUAUUGGGCGUAAAGCGCGUGUAGGCGGUUCGGUAAGUCUGCUGUGAAAGUCCAGGGCUCAACCCUGGAAUGCCGGUGGAAACUGUCGAGCUAGAGUCCGGAAGAGGCGAGUGGAAUUCCUGGUGUAGCGGUGAAAUGCGCAGAUAUCAGGAGGAACACCAAUGGCGAAGGCAGCUCGCUGGGACGGUACUGACGCUGGAGACGCGAAAGCGUGGGGAGCAAACAGG
rnacentral:rRNA from 1 species